rnacentral:rRNA from 1 species
AUUGAACGCUGGCGGCAGGCUUAACACAUGCAAGUCGAGCGGAGAUGAGGUGCUUGCACCUUAUCUUAGCGGCGGACGGGUGAGUAAUGCUUAGGAAUCUGCCUAUUAGUGGGGGACAACAUUCCGAAAGGAAUGCUAAUACCGCAUACGUCCUACGGGAGAAAGCAGGGGAUCUUCGGACCUUGCGCUAAUAGAUGAGCCUAAGUCGGAUUAGCUAGUUGGUGGGGUAAAGGCCUACCAAGGCGACGAUCUGUAGCGGGUAUGAGAGGAUGAUCCGCCACACUGGGACUGAGACACGGGCCAGACUCAUACGGGAGGAAGCAGUGGGGAAUAUUGGACAAUGGGGGGAACCCUGAUCCAGCCAUGCCGCGUGUGUGAAGAAGGCCUUAUGGUUGUAAAGCACUUUAAGCGAGGAGGAGGCUACUGAGACUAAUACUCUUGGAUAGUGGACGUUACUCGCAGAAUAAGCACCGGCUAACUCUGUGCCAGCCGCCGCGGUAACAC